AUUUUGACAUUUGUCACACUAACAUACAAAAUUUGCAGUUUUAACGGUUUUUGGAAAAAAUACUAAUUUUUUACAAUUCAAAAUUGAUAAAAUGGUAGAACUAAUGGGCGACACCCCGAAUAUUUAUAUUCCAUCAUAUUCUCAGGGCAAUGAAAGUAUGUUACGCAAGAAUGUUGCGAAAUAUUCAGGAAAUAUGUUGCAUUGGCUGUUACAUAUCUCCUUAUUGAUAAUAUCCAUUUGCAUAAAUAUUCUUUGUAAUCCAAUUGUCUGGUUCCUGGUUAAAACUACCUUUAAUGUUUUAACUGAAGUAUUUAUUUACCUUGUGUUAGGUGUAUGCUCAUUUAUCAUCAGCAUGAUUACUUAUUUGGACGAUUAUUACUGCAAAAGAAACGUUAAAGGCUGCAAAGAUGUCAGCAGGGAACGAGUGACGAUACAAAAUUGCACAGUAAAGAGAUUUGUGGAGUCGCCAAAAAACUUUUAAAUUUUUCUUUAUGUAAUGUAAAAUAUAUAUAAAAUUGAA